AAAAUAACGGGAGGCAGCAGUGGGGAAUAUUGGACAAUGGACCAAGAGUCUGAUCCAGCAAUUCUGUGUGCACGAUGACGUUUUUCGGAAUGUAAAGUGCUUUCAGUUGGGAAGAAAAAAUGACGGUACCAACAGAAGAAGUGACGGCUAAAUACGUGCCAGCAGCCGCGGUAAUUUUU
rnacentral:rRNA from 1 species